UACGAAGGUCCCAAGCGUUAUCCGGAUUUAUUGGGUUUAAAGGGUGCGUAGGCGGACUAUUAAGUCAGUGGUGAAAGCCCCAGGCCCAACCUUUGAAAGCCGAUGGAUACUGUGAGGCUAGAGUCCGGAAGAGGCGAGUGGAAUUCCUGGUGUAGCGGUGGAAUGCGCAGAUAUCAGGAGGAACACCAAUAGCGAAGGCAGCUCGCUGGGACGGUACUGACGCUAAGGCGCGAAAGCGUGGGGAGCGAACAGG
rnacentral:rRNA from 1 species